rnacentral:rRNA from 1 species
UACGAAGGGGGCUAGCGUUGCUCGGAAUCACUGGGCGUAAAGCGCACGUAGGCGGCUUUUUAAGUCAGGGGUGAAAUCCUGGAGCUCAACUCCAGAACUGCCUUCGAUACUGAGAGUCUCGAGUCCGGGAGAGGUGAGUGGAACUGCGAGUGUAGAGGUGAAAUUCGUAGAUAUUCGCAAGAACACCAGUGGCGAAGGCGGCUCACUGGCCCGGUACUGACGCUGAGGUGCGAAAGCGUGGGGAGCGAACAGG